CAAAAACUAAGGCAGAGAGAUGAUGUAAAGCCAAGUGAAUUGUGCUUUAGGACAACUAGAAUUGUAAUUUGAGAUAAAGUUGAGUUAGUAGGAUCUGGAAGAAGCUAUUAGUCAUAUACAAGAAGAAAGUAUUGGUUUUAAAUGAGUAAUUAAUACCAAAUGGAGAAAGUGGUCAGUGAUUUGAUAUGCAAGUAUAGUAAGCCAUGGUUUAAUAUCUUUGUUUCAUGCUUAAGGCAUGAUUCUCUUUAUGUCCAAAAAAAUACGCAAAGAAAACCUCAUUAAUAUUGCUUUAUUAAAUCAAAAUUACUUGGAAGAGUUCCUGAUUAUUCACUGAUGUGGAUCUAUUAAUCAGGUGUUUGAACACUGUCAAGGAAAUCAUUUACUUAUGUUUCUCUUUUUAUCUGAAUAAUGCUACUUUUUGGAGGCAAAGCACUUGGUUUCCCACCCAAGGGUCCCUGGUUCAAAUCUUGGUGAAGACUGGGAUUUUAAAUUUCAGGAUCUCUGAGUCCAGCCAGCUCUAAUGGGUACCUGACAAUAGUUGUGAAAAAGUUAAGUCGGUUAGUCAUUGUGCUGGCUACAUGACAC